rnacentral:rRNA from 1 species
AUGGCAUCCUCCGCCAGCGACCCGCUGCUCCCGGGCGAGCCGCCGCACCGGCGGCGGUUCCUGCCGCCGUCCAUCCGGCUCAAGACGUCCGUCUGGUCGGAGCUGGGCGGCGCCGUGGGGGACCUGGGCACCUACAUCCCCAUCGUGCUGGCGCUGUCGCUGGCCUCCCACCUCGACCUGGGCACCACGCUCAUCUUCACCGCGCUCUACAACUUCGCCAGCGGCGUCCUCUUCGGGAUCCCCAUGCCCGUACAGCCCAUGAAGUCCAUCGCCGCCGUCGCGCUCUCCUCCGCGCACCUUACCGUCCCGCAGAUCAUGGGCGCCGGCAUCGCCGUCGCCGCCAUCCUCCUCUUCCUCGGCGCCACGGGGCUCAUGACCCGCCUCUACCGCGUGCUCCCGCUCCCCGUCGUCCGCGGCGUGCAGCUCUCCCAGGGCCUCUCCUUCGCCUUCACCGCCGUCAAGUACAUCCGCUACGACCAGGACUUCUCCCGCUCGUCCUCCGCCUCCACCUCCGUGGAGCGCCCCCUGCUGGGCCUCGACGGCCUGCUGCUCGCGCUCGCCGCGCUGCUGUUCAUCCUCCUCACCACCGGCUCCGGGGACGACGACGACGCCAUCAACGCAGCCGACGGCCGCGCCACCGCGCGCCGUCGCUCCUGCGGCCGCGUCCCGGCGGCGCUGAUCGUGUUCGCGGUCGGCCUGGUGCUCUGCUUCGUGCGUGACCCCUCCAUCUUCCGCGGCCUCCGCUUCGGGCCGGCGCCGCUGGGGCUGGUGAAGAUAACAUGGGAAGAUUUCAAGAUCGGGUUCUGGCAGGCGGCCGUGCCGCAGCUCCCGCUGUCGGUGCUCAACUCGGUGAUCGCCGUGUGCAAGCUGUCGUCCGACCUGUUCCCGGAGCAGGCGGAGCUGUCGCCGGCGAGGGUGUCCGUCAGCGUGGGGCUCAUGAACCUGAUCGGGUGCUGGUUCGGCGCCAUGCCGUGCUGCCACGGCGCGGGGGGGCUGGCCGGGCAGUACCGGUUCGGCGGCCGGAGCGGGGCGUCCGUGGUGUUCCUGGCCAUCGGCAAGCUGGUGCUCGGGCUGGUGUUCGGCAACUCGUUCGUGACGAUCCUGGGGAAGUUCCCCAUCGGCAUCCUGGGCGUGAUGCUGCUCUUCUCGGGCGUGGAGCUGGCCAUGGCGUCGCGCGACAUGGGGAGCAAGGAGGAGUCGUUCGUGAUGCUGGUCUGCGCCGGCGUGUCGCUCACCGGCUCCAGCGCCGCGCUGGGGUUCAUCGCGGGCGUCGUGCUGCACCUGCUGCUGCGCCUCAGGGAGGUGGACUGCGGGGAGCUCGUCGGCCGGCUGAGGGCCAGGCGGUAUCCCUGGUUGCUGUAA